rnacentral:lncRNA from 1 species
GGAAAUGCAUUCCCUAGGAAUAAGGGAAGUUAUUGAACCUUCAGAGCCAGGGAAGAGGUAGCACAUAAACCUGGGGAUGGAAAGGGGGAUUUCUUUGGCUUCCAUCCAUGCAAAUAAAUCACUGGGAUCAUAGUUCAUAAUUUGCUUCUCUCUUCAUUCAUCUCCUUUGCCGCUUGGAGGCUUCGUGUUUCUCUUUUGCCUCUUCUCUGUGGCUAUUACUUCUUCCUGCAGUGACACCGUCCUUCCACUAGGGCUUCCCAAGACGCUUUCUCCGCCGCCGCCGCUCUGCCUUAUCCGAGCACAAUGAAAGCCUGUGUGUCCCCGUAACCCCCGUGCAGUGAGCCCGUAUCGGCAAAGCAGCUAACAACAGACAAGAAAGAGAAAGGGAUAUUACAAGGUACUUUUCACUUAUCAAGUGGGGGAAUCCAACAGAGUCAUCGCUGAUAAUUUGCACCGCAAACACCUAGCCCCACGGUUUGGGGGAUGGAAUAUGCAAAAACACAAAGGAAAAUCAGUGGACUACUCUGGGUGCGAAAUGCUGGAAGUUUAGGAGCUCCAAUAUUAGCAGCAGACAGUUGGAGACAGUAAUAAAACACGAAGACUGGAGAGCAAAGAGAGAGAGAGACGAGAAAACACAAAGACUUAACUCAUCUGAACCUCCUCCUCCUCCCGCCCCUUUAUCUGCACGUUUAUUGAAGGCUUAUAAAAAAAAUCCUCUCGACCAAAUUAAAACAAACCAAAAUAAGGGAAAGUCUUUGAGUUCCUGCGCCCCAUCACUGCAAUUUCUUUCUCUGGAGAAAUUUCCCCUUAAAGAAUCUCUCCCUCCUCCCCAAAAUUAAAUAAAUAAAGCCGCCAAGUUUCACUCAUUUGGGAGGGAGAAUCCCUCCGUCUAGGGGGCUGUUUUGUUUUUUUUUAAGGCAGUGGGUUGGUGGUUUGAUUUGUUUUAUUAUUAUUCCGCUUUAGAAAGGUCUCUCCCCCGCCCCCCCGGGAUUUUUGCUGUGUGCAUCCAUGAGCCCUUCACCCUCCCCCUUGUGCUAAUUUGUUUUUAUCUCCCUCCUUCAAAUGGUUAUCUGCAGUCUUGGGACGCAAACCGCCCAUCAUCUUUAAUUCUAUGUUGGCAAAUACCUAGCGAUCGCGGGUCAAUCCCAUCCCGCCCCCACCCCAGCUCCGGCAAACUCCUCCGGAGAGGUCAAGCCCGAUUGCUAAGGGGUGGGGGUGGGGGAGGCUGAUCGAGAUUUGGGGACUGCCUGGCCCGGGCUCGGGAUCCCUUCUCCCCCCCAGCCAGCCAGCCCAUCCCUCCCUCUCCGUCCCCAUCCAUGUGGCAGUGAGAACAGAGCUCAGCGUUGUCAGGGGCAGCAUCGCAGGCGCUACCCAGCCAGAGCAGCGA